CACGUAGGGGCGAGCGUUAUCCGGAUUCAUUGGGCGUAAAGCGCGCGCAGGCGGGCCGCUAAGCGGGACCUCUAAUCCUGGGGCUCAACCUCAGGCCGGGUCCCGGACUGGCGGCCUCGGGUUCGGUAGGGGAGGUCGGAAUUCCCGGUGUAGCGGUGAAAUGCGCAGAUAUCAGGAGGAACACCAAUGGCGAAGGCAGGUCUCUGGGCAGUUACUGACGCUGAGGAGCGAAAGCAUGGGUAGCGAACAGGAUUAGAUACCCGGGUAGGUCCCUGA
rnacentral:rRNA from 1 species